rnacentral:rRNA from 2 species
UUCCGGUUGAUCCUGCCGGACCUGACUGCUAUCGGAUUGAUACUAAGCCAGGCGAGUCAUUGUAGCAAUACAAGGCAGACGGCUCAGUAACGCGUAGUCAACCUAACCUAUGGACGGGAAUAACCUCGGGAAACUGAGAAUAAUGCCCGAUAGAACACUAUAUCUGGAAUGGUUUGUGUUCCAAAUGAUUUAUCGCCGUAGGAUGGGACUGCGGCCUAUCAGUUUGUUGGUGAGGUAAUGGCCCACCAAGACUAUUACAGGUACGGGCUCUGAGAGGAGUAGCCCGGAGAUGGGUACUGAGACACGGACCCAGGCCCUAUGGGGCGCAGCAGGCGAGAAAACUUUGCAAUGUGCGAAAGCACGACAAGGUUAAUCCGAGUGGUUUGUGCUAAACGAACCUUUUGUCGGUCCUAGAAACACCGAUGAAUAAGGGGUGGGCAAGUUCUGGUGUCAGCCGCCGCGGUAAAACCAGCACCUCAAGUGGUCAGGAUGAUUAUUGGGCCUAAAGCAUCCGUAGCCGGCGCUAUAAGUUUUCGGUUAAAUCUGUACGCUCAACGUACAGGCUGCCGGGAAUACUGUAGCGCUAGGGAGUGGGAGAGGUAGACGGUACUCGGUAGGAAGGGGUAAAAUCCUUUGAUCUAUUGAUGACCACCUGUGGCGAAGGCGGUCUACCAGAACACGUCCGACGGUGAGGGAUGAAAGCUGGGGGAGCAAACCGGAUUAGAUACCCGGGUAGUCCCAGCUGUAAACUAUGCAAACUCAGUGAUGCAUUGGCUUGUGGCCAAUGCAGUGCUGCAGGGAAGCCGUUAAGUUUGCCGCCUGGGAAGUACGUACGCAAGUAUGAAACUUAAAGGAAUUGGCGGGGGAGCACCACAAGGGGUGAAGCCUGCGGUUCAAUUGGAGUCAACGCCGGA